CCGGCCCUAGGGGGGGGCAGGCAGUGCCAUCGCCCCAGGCCCCAAAAAUCAAGGGGCCCCAACCCAGGUAUACUACUGUGUAUAUUACUAGUACAUACUAUAUGUGUAUUUGAAGGUUUGUACGUGUAACGUGCACAGGCCCUGAGCGUGCAGCAAAGAAAGGCCUUUGGGCCAUACAAGAGGAAACCCAUCAGGACUCACGGCAGCCACCGAGCCACGCAGGGAUUCCAGAGAAAACGAAGCCAUCGAUCGCGCCGCACACGAAAAGGAAACGAAGCGAUCGAUCCUGAUCCCCGGACGCGUCAGUUCGUCUUCGACCCCUGCCCAGUCCUUGUCGCCUCGGCUUCGACUGCCCAGUCCAAGCCGCCGAUGAUCCGAUCCUCCGAAUCUCCGCUAGCACACAAACCUUGAUAGCAGCGAGAGUGCGAGACACAGGAUAGCAAAUUAGCAAUUCGCGAGCAGCGCAGAGCCUCUUUCAGUCUUCAGACUUCAGUUCAUUGUCCAGACCAAUCAGCGAGACACGGACACGUUCGCGGUUUGUCGUCUCGUCAGUUUCAGUUUCCGGGGCCGUCGCCAUAAUACGCGCAUACAUACAUCGCCGAUUUAACCGAUCUGAGUAGUGUUUGUUAUCAUGUCUUCCUUGUCGAGAAAGCGCCCAGAUGGUAACACUAAAAGGAAAAGAGCAAAACAAGUGGCGGCCUUGAUACAAUCACAGAGGGGAGAUAUUCACAAAUUUUUUAAAUCUAAUACUGGUGCUUCAAUAAACCCGAAUGAUGAGUUGGCGAUAGUUGCCGUCGAGGAAGAGGCAGGGGCAAGUGGCUCUUAUGAGCAAGAGGAAAAUAUUGACACCAAAAUUGGCGAUAGCAAUGUAAGUGGCUCUGAGAAUGCAGCUAAUUCGACAGAUCCUAGUGUUGAUGAACAACCAUUUUAUACUUCUGAUAUUUAUGAUCCAAGAAAUUGGGAUAAUCUUGAUAACAGAGCAAGAGACAUAUUAGCUGAGAAAGGACCUUCGAGAGAGGAACCAAUGGAGUACCCUCGA